rnacentral:pre_miRNA from 1 species
UCUUGUGGAUGAGCAAAGAAAAUGGUUUCUUAAAACAGAAUCUACUUCUGGUGAAGAUGCUGUGAA